rnacentral:rRNA from 1 species
UACGGGGGGGGCAAGCGUUGUUCGGAAUUACUGGGCGUAAAGGGCUCGUAGGCGGCCAACUAAGUCGGAUGUGAAAUCCCCAGGCUUAACCUGGGAACUGCAUCCGAUACUGGAUGGCUUGAAUUCGGGAGAGGGAUGCAGAAUUCCAGGUGUAGCGGUGAAAUGCGUAGAUAUCUGGAGGAAUACCGGUGGCGAAGGCAGCCUCCUGGGCCAGCACUGACGCUCAUGCACGAAAGCGUGGGGAGCAAACAGG